GAUGAACGCUGGCGGCAGGCCUAACACAUGCAAGUCGAGCGGCAGCGGAAAGUAGCUUGCUACUUUGCCGGCGAGCGGCGGACGGGUGAGUAAUGUCUGGGAGACUGCCCGAUGGAGGGGGAUAACUACUGGAAACGGUAGCUAAUACCGCAUAACGUCGCAAGACCAAAGAGGGGGACCUUCGGGCCUCUUGCCAUCGGAUGUGCCCAGAUGGGAUUAGCUAGUAGGUGGGGUAACGGCUCACCUAGGCGACGAUCCCUAGCUGGUCUGAGAGGAUGACCAGCCACACUGGAACUGAGACACGGUCCAGACUCCUACGGGAGGCAGCAGUGGGGAAUAUUGCACAAUGGGCGCAAGCCUGAUGCAGCCAUGCCGCGUGUAUGAAGAAGGCCUUCGGGUUGUAAAGUACUUUCAGCGGGGAGGAAGGUGUUGAGGUUAAUAACCUCAGCAAUUGACGUUACCCGCAGAAGAAGCACCGGCUAACUCCGUGCCAGCCGCCGCGGUAA
rnacentral:rRNA from 1 species